GGGGUUGUGGCUCAGUGGUAGAGUGCUUGCCUAGCAUGUGUGAGACACUGAGUUCAAUCCUCAGUACCACA
rnacentral:tRNA from 1 species